AUACGGAGGAUGCGAGCGUUAUCCGGAUUCAUUGGGUUUAAAGGGUGCGUAGGCGGACUAUUAAGUCAGUGGUGAAAUCCUGCAGCUUAACUGCAGAACUGCCGUUGAUACUGAUAGUCUUGAGUUUGGUUAAGGUAGGCGGAAUGUGUAAUGUAGCGGUGAAAUGCUUAGAUAUUACACAGAACACCGAUUGCGUAGGCAGCUUACUGAGCCGACACUGACGCUGAGGCACGAAAGCGUGGGGAUC
rnacentral:rRNA from 1 species